AUGAGACAUCUGGAAUUAGAAGGAGUCUCUUGUCCUUUGGCCAAAAGUUCCAGGGAAAGUGACAUCUCCAAUCUAGGGAAGUUAAAGAUUUGGGGAAAAGGAGAAAAUCACCACAUUUAGUCAAGAUGUCUUACCCACAGUCAUGGCCUCCACCAGUUCCAGACACAUGAUACACUAAUUCAACUUCCAGUUGCUCCUCAGCUCCGCAGUACCAUGGCAAAACUCUCUAGUCUUUGAAAAGACCCAUCCCCGCUGCCUCCCCACCCCCCUCCAACAUCAAGUACCUAAAAGACUAGGAUAACAACAACAGCAACAACAACAACAACAACAACAAAAACACAACCAGUGGAAACU
rnacentral:lncRNA from 12 species